GACGAACGCUGGCGGCGUGCUUAACACAUGCAAGUCGAACGGAAAGGCCCUGCUUUUGUGGGGUGCUCGAGUGGCGAACGGGUGAGUAACACGUGAGUAACCUGCCCUUGACUUUGGGAUAACUUCAGGAAACUGGGGCUAAUACCGGAUAGGAGCUCCUGCUGCAUGGUGGGGUUGGAAAGUUUCGGCGGUUGGGGAUGGACUCGCGGCUUAUCGGCUUGUUGGUGGGGUAGUGGCUUACCAAGGCUUUGACGGGUAGCCGGCCUGAGAGGGUGACCGGCCACAUUGGGACUGAGAUACGGCCCAGACUCCUACGGGAGGCAGCAGUGGGGAAUAUUGCACAAUGGGCGGAAGCCUGAUGCAGCAACGCCGCGUGCGGGAUGACGGCCUUCGGGUUGUAAACCGCUUUCGCCUGUGACGAAGCGUGAGUGACGGUAAUGGGUAAAGAAGCACCGGCUAACUACGUG
rnacentral:rRNA from 1 species